AAUAAAACACGGAGUGCAUUUGUGCAUUUCCAAGUUAUUGAUCGACAGUAGCACAGUGAGAAGAAAGGAAUGUCUGAGCUGUUGAUUGGAUUACAGUUAAAUCUCCUAAGGGCUGAGGGUUUGCAACAUGUUUAAACAACUACCUCCUGGCCCUAAUACAUAAUAUUAUUUUGCCUGUUUUCUGUGUCUCUUUGUGUGCAACCAUCACAGAUAAACAUCCUGAUCUUCUAGAAAGUACAAAAAAAUUCUGAAAGCUCACACAGUUGAUAAACCCUCAGGGAACUAAGGCGCACUGUCAGCUAUUAGAAGUAAUUAGCUUGCAGCCAUCUGUAGCUGUAAUACAUUUGUGAAUGGUAGCCUCUGGUGAUCAUUAGACUGUUAAAGGAAGUGUUCUGUCCCUUAGAGUGUACUAAGAAGACCAUAUCCAUGGUAUUCAAUUUCCCAGGAGCAAGACACAAGCUUGAUUUGAUUUGCUUGACUACAAGACUCUGCAUCUGCUGUGUUUUAAUUCUCAAAUUACUUUCUUCAUAUGUGAUAAUUAUUCACAGGAUAAUUCCCAAGUGUGUGACUUGCAUGCAGACCAUACAAGUUCCCUUCACAACUUUCCCCUUCAAAUGUGACAGUGCCCCAGAGUCUAUUUCAAAGAAUUUGGAGACCGAGAGACCCAUCACUGACUGAGGAAGCAUUCAAAACCUUGCAUUAGCACUCCAAGGCUCAGUCAUUUGUCUCUUCCAGGAUUCAGAACUGUGUCAUCACCCAUUGAGUUUCUUCAUAUUGUUCAGCUUUUGUCUGUUUCAGCAUUUUGUAUUUUGUGUUAUCACCUAUUGGGAUAUUUGUACACUGUAUGCUUACUCCUCACUUAUAUGUAUAUAGUCUUACCAUUGAUAUUAUAAUAUAUUGACUAGGUA